rnacentral:rRNA from 1 species
AGAUGGCGACCGGCGCACGGGUGAGUAACACGUAUCCAACCUGCCGAUAACUCGGGGAUAGCCUUUCGAAAGAAAGAUUAAUACCCGAUGGCAUAAUUAGACCGCAUGGUCUUAUUAUUAAAGAAUUUCGGUUAUCGAUGGGGAUGCGUUCCAUUAGGCAGUUGGUGAGGUAACGGCUCGCCAAACCUUCGAUGGAUAGGGGUUCUGAGAGGAAGGUCCCCCACAUUGGAACUGAGACACGGUCCAA